CAAUCUGCCUUGGAGUGGGGAAUAACGGUUGGAAACAGCCGCUAAUACCGCAUGAUGCGUCUGGGAGGCAUCUCUCUGGACGCCAAAGAUUUAUCGCUCUGAGAUGAGCUCGCGUCUGAUUAGCUGGUUGGCGGGGUAACGGCCCACCAAGGCGACGAUCAGUAGCCGGACUGAGAGGUUGGCCGGCCACAUUGGGACUGAGACACGGCCCAGACUCCUACGGAAGGCAGCAG
rnacentral:rRNA from 1 species